CCUACGGGGGGCUGCAGUGGGGAAUAUUGGACAAUGGGCGAAAGCCUGAUCCAGCCAUGCCGCGUGUGUGAAGAAGGCCUUCGGGUUGUAAAGCACUUUCAGUGGGGAAGAAAGCCUUGGGGCUAAUACCCUCGAGGAAGGACAUCACCCACAGAAGAAGCACCGGCUAACUCCGUGCCAGCAGCCGCGGUAAUACGGAGGGUGCGAGCGUUAAUCGGAAUUACUGGGCGUAAAGCGCGCGUAGGCGGUCUGAUAAGCCGGUUGUGAAAGCCCCGGGCUCAACCUGGGAACGGCAUCCGGAACUGUCAGGCUAGAGUGCAGGAGAGGAAGGUAGAAUUCCCGGUGUAGCGGUGAAAUGCGUAGAGAUCGGGAGGAAUACCAGUGGCGAAGGCGGUCUUCUGGACUGACACUGACGCUGAGGUGCGAAAGCGUGGGUAGCAAACAGGAUUAGAUACCCGUGUAGGC
rnacentral:rRNA from 1 species